rnacentral:rRNA from 1 species
GACGAACGCUGGCGGCGUGCCUAAUACAUGCAAGUAGAACGCUGAAGAGAGGAGCUUGCUCUUCUUGGAUGAGUUGCGAACGGGUGAGUAACGCGUAGGUAACCUGCCUUGUAGCGGGGGAUAACUAUUGGAAACGAUAGCUAAUACCGCAUAACAAUGGAUGACACAUGUCAUUUAUUUGAAAGGGGCAAUUGCUCCACUACAAGAUGGACCUGCGUUGUAUUAGCUAGUAGGUGAGGUAAUGGCUCACCUAGGCGACGAUACAUAGCCGACCUGAGAGGGUGAUCGGCCAAACUGGGACUGAGACACGGCCCAGACUCCUACGGGAGGCAGCAGUAGGGAAUCUUCGGCAAUGGGGGCAACCCUGAACGAGCAACGCCGCGUGAGUGAAGAAGGUUUUCGGAUCGUAAAGCUCUGUUGUAAGUCAAGAACGGGUGUGAGAGUGGAAAGUUCACACUGUGACGGUAGCUUAACAGAAAGGGACGGCUAACUACGUG